UUGGCAACCCAUCUCCAAAGUUAGCUUUUUGUUCCGUUUGCCGCUUUAGUCUUAUUCUGGCAUCCACGUCGAAAGCUGUGUUAUCGUUUACGAAAACCCUCUUCUGGAUAACAAAACCCAACGUUUACGAAAAGCUCCGUUUCUCGAUUUAGAUCCAGUAUGUGGUGAUUUAAAAUGGGUUUAUCAAGCAUCGAAGAAAAUAAGACGACUUGCUGCCUUAGUCCGAAGAUCUACCAACCAGCAUCUGAAGACAUGGACGAUCUUCUGGAAUGCCCCCGGAAAAAAAAAAUGUUCUCUUCGUCGAGUUUCUACGAGGAGCCGAAUGCCAUUUAUCCCACAGUCGAAGAGCAAGUGCGAUUGUGCCGCAAAAUCGCCGAAUCACUUUCAGAUGAUUGCAACAUGAAAUCUAAGGGAGCAAAUAUGUUUUUCAAGCGAGUCAAGAAAGCCGAGAAGUGGAUUGUAGCCGAAUGUAAGUUAAG